GAUAUUAAAUAGUUCUUCACGAAGGAAAUCGAGCUAACUAAUAAAGUAUAUUAGUACUUAAUUUAUGUGUUGCAGCACAUUUCGUAUAUUAUUAGUUAGGGGUGAGAGGCUUCUCAAGAUUUCCGAUAUCUUGAUUUUUAGGAAGUAUAUUUAGUAUAAACUCAGUUUGAAAGUGCUAAGGCUCUCAAAGUGUAUUAAGGCAAGUUAGCAUAUAAGUAAAAUAUUUAACGAUAGUUACAUUAUUUUAAAAAUUAUUAAGUAUUGAAUAAUUAUACAGUCUACUAAAAUGUUCUCCAUAAUCAAUCAGUGUAAUAUUACUGUUGAUAUUAGUAUUAUAGUAUAACUUGCAUAGGAACUCGGCAAAAGGCCCCUUAACUGUUUAUCAAAAACAUAGCUGGAUGAAAUUCAUAUUUGGUUAUUUCUGCUCAAUGGUAAACUAAAUAGCCGCAGUACCCUGACUGUGCAAAGGUAGCAUAAUCAUUUGGCUUAUAAUUGAAGUCUGGUAUGAAGGAAAACUUGGGGGGCAGCUGUCUUUUAGGGUUUAAUAGAAAUUACUUAGUAAGUGAAAAUACUUACAAAUAAAUAAUAGACGAGAAGACCCUAGAAAUUUAAUAUAGCGGUGUAUUCAUACACUUGUUAUUUUGUUGGGGCGACAGAAUAACAGUGAACUUGUUUUAUAUAAUUAGAACUUAAUGUUGAGUAAAAAUAAAUUACUCUAGGGAUAACAGCAUAAUGUAUAAAAGUUUGUGACCUCGAUGUUGGACUAGGGAUCUUGAUACUUAGAAGGUGUUAAGACAAGCUCUGUUCGAGCUAUAAUCCCUACAUGAUCUGAGUUCAGACCGGC
rnacentral:rRNA from 1 species